CAAUAAAAUCGCAAAGCAAGUUCAUCGACUGAAAAAUGGAAACCACGUUCUCCGCUACUAUCUUCGCGCUCUUCGAUUUUACGCACACAAUCUCGAUCUGCUUCUCACAAAACAGAGACGAUGAAGUCCAAAUUUGAGAUGGUUAAACCCUUUUGUGGGUUCCAUUUGACAUAAUGGAAAAACUGGCUUCCAACCUUUGUUGAUGAGAAUUGAAACCUAAAAGUAGUGGGAUAUUGAGUUCUACUUAACUUAUGGUUCUAAUUUGAAGUUUCCUCUUCCAUCUACCAAAUUACAGUUGACAUGUUCUAUUAUGCAGACUGUGUGUGCCACUUUUUUACAUGACACAAACCAGAACAGUUAUACUGUACCUUGGCUAUUAUUUUCUCUCAUGUUUUUGGAUAUGUUAUUCCGAAUUUGCGGCAUGGUUAAAU